CCUUGAAAAGCGUUAAUUGUUGGCAACUUUUCAUACGCUGUCUUUGUUUAUAAUACUACUUGCUGAGGAUAUUUCAGCAACAUGAGUUCAUCCAAUUCAAGAAACAGAUCAAGAUCGCCUUUAAGAAAGCCAAACGAAUCUAUGAAUACCUCAUCAGACACUAUAAAUCGAGAAGCUGUGGAAAAAGAUAAGCAACGAAGUAUGAAGCCACAUGUCGUACCCGAAAAAGAAGCUGUGAACUCAGAGGCUGCUGUGAAUUCUAACAACCAACACAAUACUAGCGGAAACGAUUCUUCGCUUGAUUCAAAUACUUUAAAACACAACUCUGCUCAAAAAAUAUCGUAUGUUAGCACAAAUAGCAAGACUUAUGUCAAUCCUGUUACAGGGAAGACAGAACGUAAGUUUUCGAACAGAUGUCGUUUGUUUAUUGGGAAUAUAGCGGAUAUGAAGGAAGAAGAGUUUAAGAAAAUGUUUGAGAAAUACGGAGAAUACACUGAAGCCUACUUGAAUAAAGAAAAAGCUUUUGGUUUUAUCAAAAUGGAUACUAGAAUGGCAGCUGAAGCUGCCAAAAAUGCUCUAGAUGGAUCCAUGAGAAAAGGAAGAAAUCUCACAGUUCGAUUUGCAAGCUUGUCUACUGCCAUUCAUGUUUCUAAUCUUGGACCAUUAGUAUCAAAUGAAAUGCUAGAGAAAGCAUUCUCUAUUUUUGGUGAUGUUGAAAGAGCAGUAGUUGUUGUUGAUGAUCGUGGAAGAAGUAAAGGCUACGGAAGAGUAGAGUUUGCUCGCAAGGGUAAUGCUACCAGUGCAUUGCAAAAAACAAGUGAAAAUUUCUUUAUGAUUGGAAGAUCACCAAGACCUGUUUUUACAAAACAGCAAGAACAGACUGAUUGGGAAGAUGGUCUCCUUGAGAAAUCUGUUGAACGAAUGCCAAUGUAUUCUAGCGAAAGAGAUGCAGGUGGACGUUUUGCACCAGCUGGAACUUUUGAGCAUGAAUGGUGUAAAAAAUGGAAAGAGCUUGAUGAAUUAAAGCGUACUCAAUUCGAAGCCUUAGAGAAUGAGUUUAAAGAAGCUGAAGAGAAACUUGAACUUGAUAUGGCACAGGCAGUCACUGAUUAUGAAGCUGAAAUUAAACAUAGAGAACUAAUGGUGCAACAAGCUGAGCUACAUAGAAAAGAGGAGAUGAUGAGGCAAGAAAUGAUCCGACGACAAGCAAUGGAGAUGAGGCGACAUGAUGAAGCACGCCUAAGGGAAGAUAUGCGAAGACGAGAGGAAAUUCGUAUACAAGAAGAUAUUUUAAGACGUCAACAAGAUGAAUUGUUUAGAAGGCAGCAGUUGGAGGAAGCUGCAAUACUUCAUCGCCCUCGUGCACCACUUCCCCAUGGAAUUGGUCUUAGGCAACCUGUGCCACCUAUGUUUUUACGUCCAGGACUGACUCCAGUUCACAAUUUGUCACCAAGAGUACCUAUUCCUUUUGCUCCAAGAAUUCCUCUUUCACCAGAGGUGAUUGCGAAGAUUUAACUUAAGGAAGAGGAGAACGGAGGCCUGUAAUGCGGAUUGCCGUGUGAUUUCGUAAGAAGCAUAAGGAAGCUGCAAUUAUUCAUCGCCCUCGUGCACCACUUCCCCAUGGAAUUGAUCUUAGGCAACCUGUGCCACCUAUGUUUUUACGUCCAGGACUGACUCCAGUUCAUAAUUUGUCACCAAGAGUACCUAUUCCUUUUGCUCCAAGAAUUCCUCUUUCACCAGAGGCGAUUUCUCAAUUUUUGUUGUUACUGCUCUCUGUGUCAAUGGUCUAUAAUGGUAAAAUUUACGUUGUUGGUGGUGGGUCUGGAUUGAAAUUGACUGAUUCAGGAUUGAAAGUGAUAGAUUCGGGAUAAACCACCUCAAUCGUUGGCUCUUGCAGUGGUGAAUCCUCUACUCGCCUUUCGAUCGUUUGGUGUACUGGAGGCGGUUGGGAUGAUAGCCCUGUUUGAGAUGGUAAAGCUGUUUCAGAUAUUGGUUCUGGUGUCGACGCCACUGAAAAGCAGCAUUCAAAUAUCUGUUUAUGAAAAAUGAAAAAAAUGGUAUAAAUAAUAAAUAUUAAUAAUAAAUAACAAUCAUCGUAAAAAGAAAUAUUGUCACUUUUUAUACGAACUUUGCAACGGAAAUUUAGUUUUUCAAAACGAAUAGUGUCAUAAUUACCUCGGUCCAUUUGCAACAAAAAUGAAAGGCCUUUUGAAAAGGAGUUUGUUCUUCCACGGGUUUAGAUACCCAGCAGUCACUUUUGCAUGCUCCCUCCUCGAUUUUACAACAACAUAAAUCGCAAAUUCCACAGCUGUGAGGAGAACUGAAAUUGCAGUUAUUACAAUUUCCAAAGACUCCACAAUCUCCGCCUACUCCACAUUGUCCGAAGAUUCCGCAAUCUCCGCCUUCUCCACAUUGUCCGAAGAUUCCGCAAUCUCCUUCGUCUUCACCACUACCGCUGUAAAUACCACCACCACUGCUGUAAGCACCACCACCGCUGUAAGCACCACUACCGCUGUAAGCACCACCACCACUGCUGUAAGCAUCACUACCGUUGUAAGCAUCACAACCGCUGUUAGCACCUUCAAACCUUUUCCGCAAGCGAUUAAGAGACAAGAACAUAAUUCACAGAGUGAAAAAGCACAUUCGAUAAAGUCACCAUCUGCCAUUAUUUGAAAUCAGUGGUAGCCUUUGUAUACAUAAAAACAAUGUAAUAAAAUUAAUUUUACUGAA